GUACCGUACGAACGUUUAUUCGGAAUCACUGGGCUUAAAGAGUACGUAGGCGGCUCGGUAGGUGAGGUGUGAAAUCCCACGGCUCAACCGUGGAACUGCGCUUCAAACCACCGAGCUUGAGGGAGACAGGGGUGAGCGGAACUGAUGGUGGAGCGGUGAAAUGCGUUGAUAUCAUCAGGAACACCGGUGGCGAAGGCGGCUCACUGGGUCUCUUCUGACGCUGAGGUACGAAAGCUAGGGUAGCGAACGGGGAUUAGAUACCCCGGUAGUCCUAGCUGUAAACGAUGAGCACUAGAUCGAGGAAACUUCCACAUUUUCUCGGUCGUAGCGAAAGUGUUAAGUGCUCCGCCUGGGGAGUAUGGUCGCAAGGCUG
rnacentral:rRNA from 1 species